GUGGGGAAUUUUGGACAAUGGGCGCAAGCCUGAUCCAGCCAUUCCGCGUGCAGGACGAAGGCCUUCGGGUUGUAAACUGCUUUUGUACGGAACGAAAGGGCUCUCUCUAAUACAGGGGGCAUAUGACGGUACCGUAAGAAUAAGCACCGGCUAACUACGUGCCAGCAGCCGCGGUAAUACGUAGGGUGCAAGCGUUAAUCGGAAUUACUGGGCGUAAAGCGUGCGCAGGCGGUUUUGUAAGACAGAGGUGAAAUCCCCGGGCUCAACCUGGGAACGGCCUUUGUGACUGCAAAGCUGGAGUGCGGCAGAGGGGGAUGGAAUUCCGCGUGUAGCAGUGAAAUGCGUAGAUAUGCGGAGGAACACCGAUGGCGAAGGCAAUCCCCUGGGCCUGCACUGACGCUCAUGCACGAAAGCGUGGGGAGCAAACAGGAUUAGAAACCCCAGUAGUCC
rnacentral:rRNA from 1 species